rnacentral:tRNA from 1 species
GCCGAUGUAGUGUAGCGGUUAGCACGUCAGAUUGUGGCUCUGGCAGCCCGAGUUCGAUUCUCGGCAUCGGCCCCA